UACGUAGGGGGCUAGCGUUGUCCGGAAUCAUUGGGCGUAAAGCGCGUGUAGGCGGCCCGGUAAGUCCGCUGUGAAAGUCGGGGGCUCAACCCUCGAAUGCCGGUGGAUACUGUCGGGCUCGAGUGCGGAAGAGGCGAGUGGAAUUCCCGGUGUAGCGGUGAAAUGCGCAGAUAUCGGGAAGAACACCCGUGGCGAAGGCGGCUGCUCUGGGACGGUACUGGACGCUGAGACGCGAAAGCGUGGGGAGCGAAC
rnacentral:rRNA from 1 species